AUUCAGAUGACGAGUCCCAAGUAGAACGAAACGCGCAUCCUGGAU
rnacentral:hammerhead_ribozyme from 1 species